GCACAUUUUGUUUUAAUUCACUUGUGAAAUGGCUUAAAAGCUCUUUAAAAGCAACCCCUUUGCACAUAUGAUGAAUAAUAAAAAUACAGAAUUCACCACAUACUGUAGACAGAGUGCUUUGUAACUGAACAUUUUGAAAGUAUAUCUGUUUAGCAUUUCUUUUUAAAAAAAUCAGUAUUUCUUUAGGGAAUAUUUCGCUUGUCGGUGCUAGUCCGUACGAAUCAAAAAAAUAUCCCUGUCUCUUAUCAAUAUAAACAGCCAACCAGUGCUCCCCGGAUAAUGUAUGUGGAUCUGUAUUGAUAAUGAAUGCCGCUGGUACGCUGUCCAGUUUAGAGGUGGGUAGUAAAUCACACGGAAACACGCCAACAAAUAUACCUGUGGAAUAUGGGUCGGUACGUAAAAUAUGCGUUAUUUCUAAGGUGUUCAUGGUUAGGUUUUAGAGAAAAUCAUAAAGAACCUCCCGUCUUUGAUUAAUUUCAAUAACGUUUUCAAACAGUCCAUAGACUAUCAGAUUUACAGUGCGUUCCAGGGCCCUCGAAAAGCGUAUUUCCGCCCUUAAGUUACCGCUACGUAUGAGUGAAAAAUGACUACUGCAUUCCUGAUCAGGCGAUAGAUCAAAAGCGAAUAAUGUAUAUCCGUCCACAAAUUCUACUCUGUUAAUUAUAAUUCCAGAAUCACCGCAGUUCUUCUGUGCCAAUAAUAAAAAUGACAUAUUCACGCACUGCGUUAGAAUGUUCAAAAUCAGGCUGAAACGGCUUUGCAGGUAUUUGUUCACCAUCUAGAUAGAGAGCCGCAAAAUUUACAUUGUGGUGUUUGAAACACAAGGGAUUUCUGUCGUAAGCGCCUGAAAAAGCUUCAUUGUCGACAAACGCUAAAAUGACCAUCUUAGGGAUCUGUCCCAAG